CUAACGAACCCAUUUUUUUUUACGUGCGUCCGUAUCCCGCUUCCGCUCAUUCCUCUCCUAAAACCGCAUUUAACACCGAUUAAUAACGGGUUUCACCGGCCUCGCACUUUAAUCGCUUUCAUCGCAGAGAAGAACACGACAGAUAAUUCGGGAGUCUCUGUCAUUAUGAAUCCUGAAUAUGAUUACCUGUUCAAGCUCCUGCUGAUCGGAGACUCUGGCGUGGGGAAGUCCUGUCUUCUGCUGCGGUUCGCUGACGACACGUAUACAGAGAGCUACAUCAGCACGAUCGGAGUGGACUUCAAAAUCAGGACGAUAGAGCUCGACGGAAAGACCAUCAAACUACAGAUCUGGGACACGGCCGGCCAGGAGAGGUUUCGCACCAUCACGUCCAGCUACUACAGAGGAGCUCACGGGAUCAUUGUUGUUUACGAUGUCACGGAUCAGGAGUCCUUCAACAACAUCAAACAGUGGCUUCAGGAGAUCGAUCGCUAUGCCAGUGAAAACGUCAACAAGCUCCUGGUGGGAAACAAGUGUGACCUGACCACUAAGAAAGUUGUGGAUUACACAGCAGCGAAGGAGUUUGCGGACUCUCUCAGCAUCCCGUUCCUGGAGACGAGCGCCAAGAGCUCCACUAAUGUGGAACAGGCCUUCAUGACCAUGGCGGCUGAGAUCAAGAGGAGAAUGGGCCCCGGGGCCACUGCGGGAGGCCCCGAGAAAUCCAACGUCAAUAUUCAGAGCACGCCGGUCAAGACGUCCUCCGGAGGAUGCUGCUGAGACCCAGCGACAGUAACGUUACCAACCAUACGCCACAGCUGAGUUAGAAGGAAGCCAUCUGGAUAGUACGAAGUGAAGGAGAUGAUGACCUAGAGCACAGAUGUCAGCAUGUGCCCCGCGUGGAAAUAUGUCUGAACAUUUUUACACACAAAGAUUCUGAUUACCUGCUAAUAUAGAUUUGUCUAGUUUUAAAUGAGUAAUCUUGAAGCAGAACGUUGCAUUGCUCAGAUCUUGGUCUUUAAUAGUUAGGAGACUUAAAAAUUAUGCUUUAUAACUUUGUGCUUUACAACUUUGUGUCAGAUGCAUUUUCUAGAAUAGGGGCCUUCAAAAUUGGGGCUCAUAGAAAUGUUUAGGAAAUAAAA